UACAGAGGGGGCAAGCGUUAUUCGGAAUUAUUGGGCGUAAAGGGCGCGUAGGCGGCUUUGCAAGUGGCGGGUGAAAUCCCUCGGCUUAACCGAGGAACUGCCUGUCAAACUGCAUGGCUUGAGACCAGGAGAGGUGAGUGGAAUUCCCAGUGUAGCGGUGAAAAUGCGCAGAUAUCAGGAAGAACACCAAUGGCGAAAGCAGCUCUCUGGGACGGUACUGACGCUGAGGAGCGAAAGCGUGGGGAGCGAACAGG
rnacentral:rRNA from 1 species